GACGAACGCUGGCGGCGUGCUUAACACAUGCAAGUCGAGCGCUGAAGCCUUUCGGGGUGGAUGAGCGGCGAACGGGUGAGUAACACGUGGGUAAUCUGCCCUGCACUCUGGGAUAAGCCUGGGAAACUGGGUCUAAUACCGGAUAUGACCACCUCGGGCAUCUGGGGUGGUGGAAAGUUCCGGCGGUGUAGGAUGAGCCCGCGGCCUAUCAGCUUGUUGGUGGGGUGAUGGCCUACCAAGGCGA
rnacentral:rRNA from 1 species